rnacentral:tRNA from 1 species
UGGCGGGUAUGGUGAAAAGGUAUCACGAAAGCUUCCCAAGCUUCAGUUACGAGUUCGAUUCUCGUUACCCGCUCCAC